UACGUAGGGUGCAGGCGUUAAUCGGAAUUACUGGGCGUAAAGCGUGCGCAGGCGGUUUCUUAAGUCAGAUGUGAAAGCCCCGGGCUUAACCUGGGAACUGCGUUUGAAACUGGGAGACUUGAGUGUGGCAGAGGGGGGUGGAAUUCCACGUGUAGCAGUGAAAUGCGUAGAUAUGUGGAGGAACACCGAUGGCGAAGGCAGCCCCCUGGGCCAACACUGACGCUCAUGCACGAAAGCGUGGGGAGCAAACAGG
rnacentral:rRNA from 1 species